rnacentral:rRNA from 1 species
GACGAACGCUGGCGGCGUGCUUAACACAUGCAAGUCGAACAGAAAGGCCCUGCUUUUGUGGGGUGCUCGAGUGGCGAACGGGUGAGUAACACGUGAGUAACCUGCCCUUGACUUUGGGAUAACUUCAGGAAACUGGGGCUAAUACCGGAUAGGAGCUCCUGCUGCAUGGUGGGGGUUGGAAAGUUUCGGCGGUUGGGGAUGGACUUGCGGCUUAUCAGCUUGUUGGUGGGGUAGUGGCUUACCAAGGCUUUGACGGGUAGCCGGCCUGAGAGGGUGACCGGCCACAUUGGGACUGAGAUACGGCCCAGACUCCUACGGGAGGCAGCAGUGGGGAAUAUUGCACAAUGGGCGGAAGCCUGAUGCAGCAACGCCGCGUGCGGGAUGACGGCCUUCGGGUUGUAAACCGCUUUCGCCUGUGACGAAGCGUGAGUGACGGUAAUGGGUAAAGAAGCACCGGCUAACUACGUGCCAGCAGCCGCGGUGAUACGUAGGGUGCGAGCGUUGUCCGGAUUUAUUGGGCGUAAAGGGCUCGUAGGUGGUUGAUCGCGUCGGAAGUGUAAUCUUGGGGCUUAACCCUGAGCGUGCUUUCGAUACGGGUUGACUUGAGGAAGGUAGGGGAGAAUGGAAUUCCUGGUGGAGCGGUGGAAUGCGCAGAUAUCAGGAGGAACACCAGUGGCGAAGGCGGUUCUCUGGGCCUUUCCUGACGCUGAGGAGCGAAAGCGUGGGGAGCGAACAGGCUUAGAUACCCUGGUAGUCCACGCUGUAAACGGUGGGUACUAGGUGUGGGGUCCAUUCCACGGGUUCCGUGCCGUAGCUAACGCUUUAAGUACCCCGCCUGGGGAGUACGGCCGCAAGGCUAAAACUCAAAGGAAUUGACGGGGCCCCGCACAAGCGGCGGAGCAUGCGGAUUAAUUCGAUGCAACGCGUAGAACCUUACCUGGGUUUGACAUGGAUCGGGAGUGCUCAGAGAUGGGUGUGCCUCUUUUGGGGUCGGUUCACAGGUGGUGCAUGGCUGUCGUCAGCUCGUGUCGUGAGAUGUUGGGUUAAGUCCCGCAACGAGCGCAACCCUUGUUCACUGUUGCCAGCACGUUAUGGUGGGGACUCAGUGGAGACCGCCGGGGUCAACUCGGAGGAAGGUGGGGAUGACGUCAAGUCAUCAUGCCCCUUAUGUCCAGGGCUUCACGCAUGCUACAAUGGCUGGUACAGAGAGUGGCGAGCCUGUGAGGGUGAGCGAAUCUCGGAAAGCCGGUCUCAGUUCGGAUUGGGGUCUGCAACUCGACCUCAUGAAGUCGGAGUCGCUAGUAAUCGCAGAUCAGCAACGCUGCGGUGAAUACGUUCCCGGG